rnacentral:rRNA from 1 species
GACGAACGCUGGCGGCGUGCUUAACACAUGCAAGUCGAACGGAAAGGCCCUGCUUGCAGGGUACUCGAGUGGCGAACGGGUGAGUAACACGUGGGUGAUCUGCCCUGCACUUCGGGAUAAGCUUGGGAAACUGGGUCUAAUACCGGAUAGGAACCAUCUUUAGUGUGGUGGUUGGAAAGUUUUUUCGGUGUAGGAUGAGCUCGCGGCCUAUCAGCUUGUUGGUGGGGUAAUGGCCUACCAAGGCGGCGACGGGUAGCCGGCCUGAGAGGGUGUACGGCCACAUUGGGCCUGGGAUACGGCCCAGACUCCUACGGGAGGCAGCAGUGGGGAAUAUUGGACAAUGGGCGCAAGCCUGAUGCAGCGACGCCGCGUGGGGGAUGAAGGCCUUCGGGUUGUAAACUCCUUUCGCUAGGGACGAAGCUUUGUUGUGACGGUACCUAGAUAAGAAGCACCGGCUAACUACGUG